GAACGCCCUUGCGCAAGUGAGGGAGUGGCGGACGGGUGAGGAACACGUGGAUACCUACCCUUGGGUGAGGAAUACCGGCGAGAAAUCGCCGACAAUACCGCAUACCCUUGGCAACAAGGAAAGCUCGCAAGGGCGCCAUGGGAAGGGCCUGCGGCCGAUUAGCUAGUUGGUGGGGUAAAAGCUUACCAAGGCGACGAUCGGUAGCUGGUCUGAGAGGAUGAUCAGCCACACUGGGAUUGAGAACGGCCCAGACUCCUACGGGGGGCAGCAGUGAGGAAUUUUCGUCAAUGGGGGCAACCCUGAACGAGCAACGCCGCGUGCAGGAAGAAGGUUUUCGGAUCGUAAACUGCUUUUCUCUGGGACGAGAACGGACGGUACCAGAGGAAUCAGCCCCGGCUAACUACGUG
rnacentral:rRNA from 1 species